AAAAGAUUGGAAUUUAAUCUUUGAUUUUGUAUUGCAACAUUAGCAUUGUUUCAAUGUAAUCUUCCAAGGAUUGUUCAUGCUGUUUAUUUUCCGUGAAAAUGCUGCUAAAAUGCUCGAAAA